AGAGCGAACGCUGGCGGCAGGCCUAAUACAUGCAAGUCGAACGGAUCCUUCGGGAUUAGUGGCGGACGGGUGAGUAACACGUGGGAACGUACCCUUUGGUUCGGAACAACUCAGGGAAACUUGAGCUAAUACCGAAUGUGCCCUUCGGGGAAAAGAUUUAUCGCCAUUGGAGCGGCCCGCGUCUGAUUAGCUAGUUGGUAGGGUAAAGGCCCACCAAGGCUACGAUCAGUAGCUGGUCUGAGAGGAUGAUCAGCCACACUGGGACUGAGACACGGCCCAGACUCCUACGGGAGGCAGCAGUAGGGAAUCUUGCGCAAUGGGCGAAAGCCUGACGCAGCCAUGCCGCGUGAAUGAUGAAGGUCUUAGGAUUGUAAAAUUCUUUCAGCGGGGACGAUAAUGACGGUACCGCAGAAGAGCCCGGCUAACUUCGUGCCAGCAGCCGC
rnacentral:rRNA from 1 species